GUGGAUCGGUAGGUACUGUAUGUGGAUCGGUAGGUACUGUAUGUGGAUCGGUAGGUACUGUAUGUGGAUCGGUAGGUACUGUAUGUGGAUCGGUAGGUACUGUAUGUGGAUCGGUAGGUACUGUAUGUGGAUCGGUAGGUACUGUAUGUGGAUCGGUAGGUACUGUAUGUGGAUCGGUAGGUACUGUAUGUGGAUCGGUAGGUACUGUAUGUGGAUCGGUAGGUACUGUAUGUGGAUCGGUAGGUACUGUAUGUGGAUCGGUAGGUACUGUAUGUGGAUCGGUAGGUACUGUAUGUGGAUCGUCAGCUACAGCCCGUGUGUGAGAAAAGGGAUUGGCUCAGUGCUGGUCCUGGAUCGACCGUCACAGAACUAACUGUAUAGGAACUAUCAAGGCAGAAUCAAGGCAACAAGGAGAACCAAGGCACUCGUUAUACUGUA